GCCACAUGAUGAUCCUUUAGAAUACAAUAGCACUCUGUGCAAAGAUGACCAACUAUCUAUCACCCUUGACUGAUGGCA
ensembl:snoRNA SNORD83 Small nucleolar RNA SNORD83